rnacentral:misc_RNA from 1 species
UUGCUAUGACUCAAAUGCCAUAAUUGAUUGUGUCAUUAAUCAGAUGGGGGAAUUGAUUUUAUCUGUCAGGUCAGGAUGGGUAAGACGAGGUGCAAAAUUAUACGAAUUGGUCUCCAUCCUAUGAAAAAAUACAGGAGUGCAGUUUGUUGACUGCAUAAUGUUUCUUCUUUUCUGCUUAUUUAUAAAGCAAAUUUCCCUUCUUGUAACUUGGGCAAUCUAAGCAUUUUUAAGUGAAAAUUUAGGGAUGAGAAUAGGGGAAUUUCAAAUUUAUAUGCAAAAGAAUUUUCAAUUUACUAGAAAUUGGCCACUGAUGGUAAAAUCUCCCUUUAAUUACAGAUGCUUGACAAUGAAUUUGGGGGCAUUUCUUAAGUUUGUCAUUAUUCUACGCUAACUCUUAAGUUUACAUAUUUCCACAUGUUUGUGCUUAAGUGCUCUUAUGAGUAAUUUACUGUGUGAAUUUCAUUUCAGCUGAUACUUGCUAAUGGCAUGAUAUAUUAUUCUGGAUUAUAUAUUCUCAGGAAACAAACUUCAAAGAGUG